rnacentral:piRNA from 1 species
CGGAACAAGACACCAGUACCCCG